GCUGCCCGAGCUGAGCAGUCACCGCCUCCAGCCUCCACCCGCUCCAGGACGUUUUAAUCCAGCCUUACUGGAAUUCUGUAAUAAUAGCCAAAAUAUCGCCAGCCCCGAGCUUCCAGUUCAAGGCAUCAUACUCCUCUUGUGAUACUACGCACAACUUCUAUGGAUAUUUAAAAUGCUCUCCUGUUGAAUUCUGUAGAUCACACACACAGGUACCCAUGUAUGAGGUUGUCCCACUGACCGAGGCCUGGAGAGAAGCUGCGGGAGGAGAGAAGAACGUAAAACCACAGACGAGGCCAUACGAGAGCGCAGGUGCAGACUG